rnacentral:rRNA from 1 species
UACAGGGGGUGCAAACGUUGCUCGGAAUUAUUGGGCGUAAAGCGCGCGUAGGCGGCCGCUUAAGUCGGAUGUGAAAGCCCCUGGCUCAACUGGGGAAGUGCACCCGAAACUGAGUGGCUUGAGUACUAAAGAGGGUCGCGGAAUUCCCGGUGUAGAGGUGAAAUUCGUAGAUAUCGGGAGGAACACCGGUGGCGAAGGCGGUUCUCUGGGCCUUACCUGACGCUGAGGAGCGAAAGCGUGGGGAGCGAACAGG